AGAGUUUGAUCCUGGCUCAGGAUAAACGCUGGCGGCGUGCCUAAUGCAUGCAAGUCGCACGGGAGCCCUUCGGGGUCGACCGUGGCGGACGGGUGAGGAACACGUGGCUAACCUGCCCAACAGUGGGGGAUAACCUCGGGAAACCGAGGCUAAUACCGCAUACGCUCAUCCGGGGGGACGUGGAUGAGGAAACGGAGAAAUCCGCUGAUGGAGGGGGCUGCGGCCGAUUAGCUAGUUGGUGGGGUAAAGGCUUACCAAGGCGGUGAUCGGUAGCUGGUCUGAGAGGACGAUCAGCCACACGGGGACUGAGACACGGCCCCGACUCCUACGGGAGGCAGCAGCAAGGAAUUUUCCACAAUGGGCGCAAGCCUGAUGGAGCAACGCCGCGUGGGGGAUGACGCUUUUCGGAGUGUAAACCCCUUUUCGAGAGGACGAAGCCAAUGACGGUACUCUCGGAAUAAGGACCGGCUAACUACGUGCCAGCAGCCGCGGUAAGACGUAGGGUCCGAGCGUUGUCCGGAGUUACUGGGCGUAAAGCGCGCGCAGGCGG
rnacentral:rRNA from 1 species